UCCAGACUCCUACGGGAGGCAGCAGUGAGGAAUAUUGGCCAAUGGGCGGAAGCCUGAACCAGCCAAGUCGCGUGAGGGAAGAAGGCCCUGCGGGUCGCAGACCUCUUUGGACGGGGAGCAAGGCCGCCGACGUGUCGGCGGAAGGAGAGUACCCGUAGAACAAGCAUCGGCUAACUCCGUGCCAGCAGCCGCGGUAAUACGGAGGAUGCGAGCGUUAUCCGGAUUUAUUGGGUUUAAAGGGUGCGCAGGCGGAUUUUUAAGUCAGCGGUAAAAUCGGGGGGCUCAACCCCAUCCAGCCGUUGAAACUGGGGAUCUAGAGUGUGCGAGAGGUAUGCGGAAUGCGUGGUGUAGCGGUGAAAUGCAUAGAUAUCGCGCAGAACUCCGAUUGCGAAGGCAGCGUACCGGCGCCGGACUGACGCUGAGGCACGAAAGCGUGGGUAUCGAACAGGAUUAGAUACCCCGGUAU
rnacentral:rRNA from 1 species